rnacentral:rRNA from 1 species
AUUGAACGCUGGCGGCAGGCCUAACACAUGCAAGUCGAGCGGAUGAAGGGAGCUUGCUCCUGGAUUCAGCGGCGGACGGGUGAGUAAUGCCUAGGAAUCUGCCUGGUAGUGGGGGAUAACGUCCGGAAACGGGCGCUAAUACAGCAUACGUCCUGAGGGAGAAAGUGGGGGAUCUUCGGACCUCACGCUAUCAGAUGAGCCUAGGUCGGAUUAGCUAGUUGGUGGGGUAAAGGCCUACCAAGGCGACGAUCCGUAACUGGUCUGAGAGGAUGAUCAGUCACACUGGAACUGAGACACGGUCCAGACUCCUACGGGAGGCAGCAGUGGGGAAUAUUGGACAAAGGGCGAAAGCCUGAUCCAGCCAUGCCGCGUGUGUGAAGAAGGUCUUCGGAUUGUAAAGCACUUUAAGUUGGGAGGAAGGGCAGUAAGUUAAUACCUUGCUGUUUUGACGUUACCAACAGAAUAAGCACCGGCUAACUUCGUG